rnacentral:rRNA from 1 species
UGGGGAAUAUUGCGCAAUGGGGGGAACCCUGACGCAGCCAUGCCGCGUGAAUGAAGAAGGCCUUAGGGUUGUAAAGUUCUUUCGGUAUUGAGGAAGGUUGAUGUGUUAAUAGCACAUCAAAUUGACGUUAAAUACAGAAGAAGCACCGGCUAACUCCGUGCCAGCAGCCGCGGUAAUACGGAGGGUGCGAGCGUUAAUCGGAAUAACUGGGCGUAAAGGGCACGCAGGCGGUUAUUUAAGUGAGGUGUGAAAGCCCCGGGCUUAACCUGGGAAUUGCAUUUCAGACUGGGUAACUAGAGUACUUUAGGGAGGGGUAGAAUUCCACGUGUAGCGGUGAAAUGCGUAGAGAUGUGGAGGAAUGCCGAAGGCGAAGGCAGCCCCUUGGGAAUGUACUGACGCUCAUGUGCGAAAGCGUGGGGAGCAAACAGGAUUAGAUACCCUGGUAGUCCACGCUGUAAACGCUGUCGAUUUGGGGGUUGGGGUUUAACUCUGGCGCCCGUAGCUAACGUGAUAAAUCGACCGCCUGGGGAGUACGGCCGCAAGGUUA